UCAGAAGAAAGGCCACAUUGGUCUGCAACCCCUUAUGAAGCGCCCCCCAUACAAACAAACUCUUUAAACACUUCAUUAACUUGCACCAGGGACUGCCACAGAACACCUAAUUACAGGAGAUGAAACUUACUUCCUCUCAGUCCUUGUCACCAGUGAAGAGAGGAAUCUGGGCCUAUGCAUCUCUGAAAGCUUGGUGGUGAAGGUAUUGAAAAGGAUAGGAGAUGAGGGACCCUGAUUUUUUCCUCUAUUCAACUGGAAAACAUUUUAAUGGAGUUGAAAAGUGAAAGAUUGCUCAUCACUGCUUGAUUUGCUGGGCAGCAGACUGAAGACAAGGUUUUAAAUAACUGUGGCAUGGUUACCAUUCUUCUCAGCAACCAAGUGAACUUCUUUCAGAGGCUGCAAAAGAUUACUUGUUUCCAGCAAAGGAGGAGCAUACUUUUUGUUCCCAUGCCAUGAGAUGUGACCUUUAAAGGAUAUUUCAGUUAUAACCUACUUCUGACUUUGAAUAUCCUUUGGGAACCUUUCAGCAAUGAAGAAGAAAUUCUUCCACCAUUGAAAAAAGAUCUACAAGUAAGUUCCUGGAAAAAGAAUAUAGUAGGCAACAUCUUCAUCCACAGAAGAAUAAUGUCCAAAACCAAAUUGAUUAACAUAGCUUUUAAACAAAGUUAACAAGUUGCAAAGAGAUUACAGAGAUAUUGAAGAUUUCUAACUCUAUGUUGUAGCAAGUGCUAUUGGAUGAGAUUCUGGUGUUAACACUACCCUUGCAACUUCAUUGAUUUCCACUCAGACAUACAGCAUACAAAACUGGUGUAAAAAAGGGCAGCAUCUGGCUCAUUCAGCUAAUUGUAUCAUUGGUGUAAAUAUUGAAAUUGAAGGUGAAUUUGAUCCAUAUAUUCAAAUUCAAGCAAGUAAUUCUUUUCAAAACACUUCAGCUACUAAAAUGCACUCACAUUAAACAACCCCGUCCCCAUUUAGUCACAUUUGCACUUGUAAUGAAUUUUGUGAGAGAAAUGUUGUUCCAGCUGUAUGCAGUGUCUCAACAAAAUAUUGCAAACUUGCCACUUACUGCCCCCAGAUCUGUAAUCUAGCUGGAAUGUUUUAAAAUAUGAUUUCAGAUUCUUAACAAGCACAGAGCAUGGCCGUGACAUGUUUUAAAAUAAAAUCUCAUCUUCCAAGAUAGUUCAAAUUUUGAACUAUUUAGUCUGCACUAAAUCUUCUUUUAAAGUAUGUUAAAGGCCAAUGUCAAGUGUUUACUGCUGUAUGUAUAAUUCAAACC